rnacentral:rRNA from 1 species
ACGGAAGGCAGCAGUGGGGAAUAUUGCACAAUGGGGGAAACCCUGAUGCAGCAACGCCGCGUGAGUGAAGAAGUAUUUCGGUAUGUAAAGCUCUAUCAGCAGGGAAGAAAAUGACGGUACCUGACUAAGAAGCCCCGGCUAACUACGUGCCAGCAGCCGCGGUAAUACGUAGGGGGCAAGCGUUAUCCGGAUUUACUGGGUGUAAAGGGAGCGUAGACGGCAAGGCAAGUCAGAAGUGAAAGCAUAGGGCUUAACCCUGUAACUGCUUUUGAAACUGUUUAGCUAGAGUGUCGGAGAGGUAAGUGGAAUUCCUAGUGUAGCGGUGAAAUGCGUAGAUAUUAGGAGGAACACCAGAGGCGAAGGCGGCUUACUGGACGAUUACUGACGUUGAGGCUCGAAAGCGUGGGGAGCAAACAGGAUUAGAUACCUUGGUA